GUUUCUGCUCAGGUCUCCUCCAGUUGACGUCCAGGGGUCAGGUGGUGGCUGCAGGGACAGCAACCUCUCCCUCCUUCUCUCUAACCCCUGCAGUGUCUUGGUCAGCAGAGGCCUGUCACUGUGUACUACCUGAUGGUGAGGUCAUCAAUGGCCUACUGCACAUCUUUAUCAAGCCCCAUGUAAGUCCUACAAAACAAGGUAUGUCUCAGCUGGAGCCAUCUGACGGCAAGGACAGGUGAUGAGGUGUUCCUCCGUCAGUGUGCUUUGAACCUGGCCCUCUGGUCAGAAUCAUGGCGGUGGCGUGGAGGACAAAGACUGAUAGGGUCAUCUCAGAUGAGCUCUUCAAGUGGUUCAUCUUGUGAUUGUAACAGUUUUAGGUCAUCAGCUCAGCAGUCAGGCUCUGUCUGUAUCAAUGGCGACGUGGUAAACUUCUGCGGCAUCAGAACUGGCCCAACCUGCUGUAAUGUAGCUAGUUGUUUUGUUAUGUCUAAGUGGUGGAGGCAUCUCUAGUGUUGUGGGUGGGGGUGUGCUCAGUUGCUGGGGGAGAUGACUGGAUAACUCAAGGAGAUAACCCUUCACCACAGUGGAAUGACUGGAGGGAAAGAUACCACGCUCUCCAUUUUCACAGUACUGAUGGCACACGUUGUGCCUUGCUGAAUAGACUACACUGAGCCUGGAAUAACCCUAAGUCUCACCUCACUGUAUCCCUGGGUUGAUGUUGCGUUACAUCAUGACUGUGACCUGACCCACUUCUUCAUAUAUGAUAGUUGACCGUGAUGUGGGGAAACUGUAUACAUUUGGCUAUGAAACAAGUGUUCUCUUACUAUUCUAUUAAUAUUGACUUUUGCAGAUAAAAUUCCAUAAUGCACAACAUUUACUGCAAGUACAAAUAGGCCUAUAGUGUGUUGUGUACACUGUUGCCAAAACAUUAGCUUGUUGCUUUUCAAAUCUUAGACUUGCAACCUUGUGGUAUGAACAGAUACCAGUUUACAUUAAACAGAAGACUGAAUUGGGUAUGAAAUUAAUUACACACACCAUGUUUGGAUAACUUAACAUUUAAACAACUCGUAAACAAGCCCAUAUAUUGUGAGAUCUACUUUCUGUUCCCGAAAGGAUUAUGAAAUCAAGGGGUCCCUCUUGUGGAGAUGUGGCAUACUACACAAAGAUUACAUUACAUUACAUUUAGGGGCGGUUUCACAGACACAGAUUAAGCCGAGUCCUAGACUAAAUUGCACUUUUAAAUUGGACUAAAUUAAAUUUCUCAGACAUGGUUUAAAAUAGUCUUAGACUUGCCCUAGUCUAAAUUUUUAGUCUGAUUUCCAGAAGGACGAUUAGAGUUCAUCUAGAUCUAAGUGUAGGCUUAAAUGAAACCUUGCCAGAGGCAGGCUUAACUUCAGAUUAAUGGGUGUUGGUCCCCAGGUUGACCCUGGCAGUGGAGAAAAAUGGAUUACCUGGACUAUUUUAAUGAUGAUCAAAGAGCACCACCAAGACUUGACAGAAGGGUGGUUAUAGACAGGAGCAACCCACUGAAUGAUUUUGAUGAAAUCAAUUACUGUGACCUUUUCUGUAUUUACAAAGAAAAUGCAGCUGACAAUAGUUCGCAUGAGCCAAGGCUUUCAUCUGACUCUCUGCCGGGAAGGCCCAUCCCUCCUUCCUUACAAGUACUGAUCACCUUGAGGUUUUUGGCACCUGAAACCUUCCGCCGUGAAACAGAAGAUUUGGGUGGUCUAAGUGAACCGACUGUACGCAGAAUAGUCCACAAAGUCUGCAGUGCUAUAUGUGAACUGAAAGACAAUUGCAUCAAGUUCUCUGAUGCUUCUGCCCAAGCCAACUACACGGUAGAGUUAGUGUUAGGGUUCUGAGAAACAACGGUACAACCAAGCUCAUAUCCACACCAGAGGUUUAAUGGAGCACAUGUUUGGUGUAUGGAAGAGUCAUUUCCAGUGUCUCAAACACAUUGCGCUUUCAACCAAGAAGAUGCUGCAUUUGUCAUAAUUGCAACAGCAGUGCUUCACAAUUACCUCAAACAGCAUGGCUACCCAGAUCAAUUACUUCAAACAGCAUGGCUGCCCAGAUCAAUUACUUCAAACAGCAUGGCUGCCCAGAUCAAUUACUUCAAACAGCAUGGCUGCCCAGAUCAAUUACUUCAAACAGCAUGGCUGCCCAGAUCAAUUACUUCAAACAGCAUGGCUGCCCAGAUCAAUUACUUCAAACAGCAUGGCUGCCCAGAACCUCACAUUAAAGAUGGGAAUGACCCAGAUGUUCCCAUGGUUGAGACAGACAAAUGGACAAGCCUGCAGAGAUGCUUUUAUAAUGCAGCACUUCUCACAACAAAGAUCGCUCAAGUGAUUGACGCAAACAAUAUCCAUAAUUCACAAAUGUAAAUAUUGGGACUGUGAACUGGUGCUGGUUCGAGAAGAUCAUUGGUGCUGCUUCAUGUUUCCCUCCUUUAACAGCCAACUCAUAUCAUGCUCUUCUUUUAAACAUAGUUUGCGCUCAUGAAAUUCCAAUUCCAUUACUCCCUACGAGCAACAGCAUUUGUCUUUUUCUGUUUUCGACAGGACCUUUAGAAAGACAAGAAAAUCUAUAAAUAUAUUAGUAAUUAUGUAUGAUAUUGUUUGUGUUUACAUUUCACACAUACAUUUUGGCCAAACUGUGUUGCACAAGAAAACUAACAUUUCAAAGUGACUCUGAUUUGUAAAAGUGAGCCAACAAUAAAUACAGAAUCUGACCUG